AAACCUACUUGCUUUUCUUCAAAGGUAGAACGUUUCAUCUGACUUUCACUCUCCUUUUGCCAUUAGUACACGCUGCUUAGUGUCUCUUUUUUAUCACUUAGGUUUUGGCUUGAAUGCAGGAUGGAAAUACUGGGGGCCAAGAGGAUUCACAGCACCUUGUCCCAAAACUUUCUUGGGGGGAAUAACUGAUCCACAAAAUGACCCUUCUGCCUUUACAGGGACACCUGGAGCCACCUGACCUUCCACUGACUUGAGCAGAAGUUGGAUCUGUCCUCAACUUACCUUUUGUAUUGACCUAAAUCUCUUUGCAAACCAGAAUUAAAGAUCUCCCUGAUGUACAUUAUUAUUGAAUAAAAUUUAGCUAUUUCUUAAUAGUUGAAUGCCCUCAGGCCUCUGCUUUAAAGCAACUUUGCCUGAAACAAAGGAGAAUUUGCUUCAUAUAUUAUUUACUUUGGCCAUUUAAUUUAAAUUGCCUUUUGCUGUAGCUCCUUACUCAUGUUCACUGCAGAGAAGUAAGUUAAUAAAUCUGAGAGUUGUCUUGAUUUCUUUCCCUGGUUCUGGAAACAGAUGUCAGGUUACACUUUUUGGGCUGUAUUUUUCAGUUUAAAUACACCUAAGAAAAAGUGGCAACUCCACCAUUGCAUCAAGGGGAUGUAGAACUAAAAUUGUCACUAAUACAUCCCAAGUUUGUUUAAAAGAUUUAUUUCUAGAAAAGAAUAAGAUGUUGGUUUUGCAUUUAAGUCUUUUAAAAAGCAAAAUACACACGACUUAGAGUGAUUUCAAAAGCAAAUUGCAUCACUUUAAGCACAGUUUAUGAGCCCUGUUCUAGUUCAUUAGAAAACCAAUCUAUUACUUUCAGUGAUAUUAAUAAUCUUAAUAGAAUUAACACCACAAAACAUGAUUAAAAGCAAUCCUGUGGACAAGAAGUUUGAUCAAGGAAACUUCCAAGCUUAAAAGGAGCCUUCAACCUCCUGUGUCAGGAACUUUUUAAGAGGAGAUUCUCGGGGCGGUCAAACACAGGACUUUGAGGAUAUUUUAUGAUGCGUAUUAAAAAAAAUCAUAGAUUGUG